GUACAGGAUCUUCUGCUGGGGGCCCAGGAGCUGCCACUCCUCCGAGGUGAAGUCCACGGCCACAUCCUCCAGCGUCAGUGGUUCCUGGGCAGAUCCCUCUGUGGAGUCCAUCUUCUCUUGUCCAUGGCUCCCCUUGUUCCCAUCUGGACAGCGUGUCUG